rnacentral:rRNA from 1 species
UACGUAGGGGGCAAGCGUUGUCCGGAUUUAUUGGGCGUAAAGAGCGUGUAGGCGGCUGGGUAGGUCCGUUGUGAAAACUCGAGGCUCAACCUCGAGACGCCGAUGGAAACCCUCCAGUUAGAGUCCGGAAGAGGAGAGUGGAAUUCCUGGUGUAGCGGUGAAAUGCGCAGAUAUUAGGAAGAACACCCGUGGCUAAGGCGGCUCUCUAGUACGGUACUGACGCUGAGACGCGAAAGCGUGGGGAGCGAACAGG